rnacentral:rRNA from 1 species
UUGGAGGGCAAGUCUGGUGCCAGCAGCCGCGGUAAUUCCAGCUCCAAUAGCGUAUAUUAAAGUUGUUGCCGUUAAAAAGCUCGUAGUUGAACCUUGGGCCUGGCUGACCUGUCCUCCUAAUCGAGCGCACGGGUUCGGUCGGGCCUUUCCUUCUGGGGAUCCCGAUGCCCUUCACUGGGCGUCGUGGGGAACCAGGCCUUUUACCUUGAAAAAAUUAGAGUGUUCAAAGCAGGCCUUUGCUCGAAUACAUUAGCAUGGAAUAAUAGAAUAGGACAGAGGUUCUAUUUUGUUGGUUUCUA